rnacentral:rRNA from 1 species
GACGAACGCUGGCGGCGUGCCUAAUACAUGCAAGUCGAGCGCAGGAAGCCGACGGAACCCUUCGGGGGGAAGUCGACGGAAUGAGCGGCGGACGGGUGAGUAACACGUAAAGAACCUGCCCUCAGGUCUGGGAUAACCACGAGAAAUCGGGGCUAAUACCGGAUGGGUCAUCGGACCGCAUGGUCCGAGGAGGAAAGGCGCUCCGGCGUCGCCCGGGGAUGGCUUUGCGGUGCAUUAGCUAGUUGGUGGGGUAAUGGCCCACCAAGGCGACGAUGCAUAGCCGACCUGAGAGGGUGAUCGGCCACACUGGGACUGAGACACGGCCCAGACUCCUACGGGAGGCAGCAGUAGGGAAUCUUCCACAAUGGACGAAAGUCUGAUGGAGCAACGCCGCGUGAACGAUGAAGGCCUUCGGGUCGUAAAGUUCUGUUGUAAGGGAAGAACAAGUGCCGCAGGCAAUGGCGGCACCUUGACGGUACCUUGCGAGAAAGCCACGGCUAACUACGUGCCAGCCGCCGCCGUAAAAC